GCCUAUGUAUCUCAGUCAGUAGAGCAUCAGACUUGUAAUCUGAGAGUCCAGAGUUCAAGUUCCUGUCCAGGGGCU
rfam:Sus scrofa breed Duroc isolate TJ Tabasco Contig59_1, whole genome shotgun sequence.